AGUCCCAGGAAGAGCAAUGAAGCAGGUACAGCAAGUAUCCAGAGCAAUGGGUCCAAACCUGGGCUCGCUGAGGUGAGACGACCAAGGACCGUGAAAGAAAGAAAAGGACUUGACACAAUAUCUUAACAGGUCUACGUGUGGCCGGGCAUGGUGGCUCAUGCCUGUAAUCCCAGCACUUUGGGAGGCAGGCAGAUCAUGAGGUCAAGAGAUCGAGACCAUCCUGACCAACAUGGAAACAGAAAGUGCUUUGGGUAUAAGAAUGUAAGAUCUCAGCUCCCAAAGGCCGGAACAUAAGAAAAACGACUGUCAUGACUAGAAGUAUUAAUCUGCUACAGCCACCAACAGACUUCCAGCAAGAUGCAAGUACUGCAGCUGGCCAAGGGAUCACUUAUUUUUGACAGUGACACCAGAACUAUGGCAACAACAUUGGCAAAGAAUGCUACUCUCCAGGAGGACCAAUCAAAUGUUCUUUUUAUCCCCAUGAGACAAGAGUCACCAGGACUGGGUGAACGCCCCUGGGAUGCAUGUUCUGAGCAUAUGAGGGAAAUAUGGCUAAAGAGAGAUGCAGAGGAAGAAAGACAGCAUUUCAACAACACUAGAAUGAACACUCGGACACAUUUAAACAUUUAAAAGAAUAUGCUUUUUAAAAGUACUCCACAUUGAGAAAGUAGAAAAUAGUAGCUACAUACACAAAAGCUAUUUUUUAUAAUGUAGUUGUUGUUGUUUUUCUUGCACCCUGUAAAACAUGGAUAGAACACCUCUACUUGAGCAGCACAUUCCCAGUUCUGCAGACCUGCCUCAAGAGUUUAGGGAAAGAUGUGUGUAGGUGACGGCUCUGUGUAUCCAGAGUGUGACAUACACAAGCAUGUCCUGCAGCAGCAAGGCUGCUUUGCACUUGAAAAUCCUUCAGGCAGGACAGGAGGCUCUCAAGGUACUUGUGAACACCCUUUGACAUCUUUGAAAGUUGAAAAACUGAAUUUUAAUAAAAAUACUUUAGGCCAGU